rnacentral:tRNA from 1 species
AGAAAUAUAGGCUAAACUAUUUACUUAAACCAUGGACCUUCAAAGCCCAAACUGUGUAAUCAACACUAUUUCUG